GGGUCAGUAGGUUGGUCGUGCCACCGGUACGUACUGGUCUCACUGAUUCCUCCUUCCUGAAGAACCGUAAUGCCAUUAAUUUGGUGUUGCGGGGAAAUAGGACUGUUACUUUGAAAAAAUUAGAGUGUUUAAAGCAAGCUAACGCUUGAAUACAUUAGCAUGGAAUAAUGAAAUAGGACGAUCGAUCCUAUUUUGUUGGUUUCUAGGAUUGACGUA
rnacentral:rRNA from 1 species